GACGAACGCUGGCGGCGCGCUUAAUACAUGCAAGUCGAGCGAGAACCGGAGCUUCGGCUCCGGGGACAGCGGCGAACGGGUGAGUAACACGUGGGUAACCUGCCCUCGGCACCGGGAUAGCCCGGGGAAACCCGGAUUAAUACCGGAUGGCCCUUUCGGUCUUCGGACCGGUCGGGAAAGGUAGCUUCGGCCUCUGGCCGAGGAUGGGCCCGCGGCGGAUUAGCUUGUUGGUGGGGUAACGGCUCACCAAGGCUCCGAUCCGUAGCUGGUCUGAGAGGACGAUCAGCCACACUGGGACUGAGACACGGCCCAGACUCCUACGGGAGGCAGCAGUAGGGAAUCUUGCGCAAUGGGCGAAAGCCUGACGCAGCGACGCCGCGUGCGGGAAGACGGCCUUCGGGUUGUAAACCGCUUUCAGGAGGGACGAAGCCACUCGGGUGAAUAGCCCAGAGGGUGACGGUACCUCCAGAAGAAGCCCCGGCUAACUACGUGCCAGCAGCCGCAGUAAAAC
rnacentral:rRNA from 1 species